GUGGGGAAUCUUAGACAAUGGGGGAAACCCUGAUCUAGCCAUGCCGCGUGAGCGAUGAAGGCCUUAGGGUUGUAAAGCUCUUUCAGCUGGGAAGAUAAUGACGGUACCAGCAGAAGAAGCCCCGGCUAACUCCGUGCCAGCAGCCGCGGUAAUACGGAGGGGGCUAGCGUUGUUCGGAAUUACUGGGCGUAAAGCGCGCGUAGGCGGACCAGGAAGUUGGAGGUGAAAUCCGAGGGCUCAACCUUGGAACGGCCUUCAAAACUGGUGGUCUGGAGUUCGAGAGAGGUGAGUGGAACUCCGAGUGUAGAGGUGAAAUUCGUAGAUAUUCGGAAGAACACCAGUGGCGAAGGCGGCUCACUGGCUCGAUACUGACGCUGAGGUGCGAAAGCGUGGGGAGCAAACAGGAUUAGAUACCCCAGUAGUCC
rnacentral:rRNA from 1 species